AGCGGAGGUGGAAAGAUUUAUCGGUCAAGGAUGAGCUCGCGGCCUAUCAGCUAGUUGGUGGGGUAACGGCUCACCAAGGCGACGACGGGUAGCCGGCCUGAGAGGGUGACCGGCCACACUGGGACUGAGACACGGCCCAGACUCCUACGGGAGGCAGCAGUGGGGAAUAUUGCACAAUGGGCGCAAGCCUGAUGCAGCAACGCCGCGUGAGGGACGAAGGCCUUCGGGUUGUAAACCUCUUUUAGCAGGGAAGAAGCGCAAGUGACGGUACCUGCAGAAAAAGCACCGGCUAACUACGUGCCAGCAGCCGCGGUAAUACGUAGGGUGCAAGCGUUGUCCGGAAUUAUUGGGCGUAAAGAGCUCGUAGGCGGUUUGUCGCGUCUGCUGUGAAAAUCCGAGGCUCAACCUCGGACCUGCAGUGGGUACGGGCAAACUAGAGUGCGGUAGGGGAGAUUGGAAUUCCUGGUGUAGCGGUGGAAUGCGCAGAUAUCAGGAGGAACACCAAUGGCGAAGGCAGAUCUCUGGGCCGUAACUGACGCUGA
rnacentral:rRNA from 1 species